CAGUCGCCGCGGGAAUACGUAGGGGGCAAGCGCUAUCCGGAUUCAUUGGGCGUAAAGCGCUCGUAGGCGGUCUGUUAGGUCGGGAGUUAAAUCCGGAGGCUCAACCUCCGUUCGCUCCCGAUACCGGCAGACUUGAGUUUGGUAGGGGAAGGUGGAAUUCCUAGUGUAGCGGUGGAAUGCGCAGAUAUUAGGAAGAACACCAGUGGCGAAGGCGGCCUUCUGGGCCAUAACUGACGCUGAGGAGCGAAAGCUAGGGGAGCAAACAGGAUUAGAUACCCCCGUAGUCCCUGUCUCUUAUACA
rnacentral:rRNA from 1 species